rnacentral:rRNA from 1 species
UACGAAGGAUGCAAGCGUUAUCCGGAUUUAUUGGGUUUAAAGGGUGCGUAGGCGGACUUAUAAGUCAGUGGUGAAAUCUCGUUGCUUAACAACGAACGUGCCAUUGAUACUGUAGGUCUUGAGUACAGAUGCCGUUGGCGGAAUGUGUCAUGUAGCGGUGAAAUGCAUAGAUAUUGUCAAGAACACCGAUUGCGAAGGCAGCUUACUAAAGUGUCACUGACGCUGAGGCACGAAAGUGCGGGGAUCAAACAGG